UGCUGCUGCUGAUGUCCUGGUCCUGAUGUAAGUCUGUGGCUCUGGAGGAUACAGAUGCGUCAGUCACUCACACAAACAAACAGCCACACUGUCAUACGUAAGACGCUUCUGUAUCACGGUGACUAAGCAUUUUAUCUAAGCCGUGUGACUUCACCGGUCACGAUAAUUCGGUGAUUUAAUCUGACCCUAAAUGCGCUCGGUAUUGCUGAGUGAUUGCAGUAUGCUGACUCACCUUCAUCAGUUCAGGCAGCGAACGCCAGGUGGCGCUGCUAGCCGCGGAGGAAGCUUCCACUCCUCGUCACUUCCAGGAACAACGACCGGGAGGCAUCUAAAGUGAAGUGGGGGGUGUGGGGCACGAAUCCAAUUUGUGCCAGCAUCUGUGAUUGGUCAUGGCCGUGAUCUCUGACGUGCCGCGUGACGCUGCUCUCAUCUCCUGAUCGCCGCAUCACUCCGGCGUCUGUCUCAAAAUUGGCUUUGUGCUCUGUGUCUCAAAAUUGUGCUGCUGCACAAAAACUUUCUCAUGACUGAUGAGGAGACAAACCAACUGUGAUUUCAGUCUCAGAAAUCACUGCACACUUUAAUGGAGAAAGAAAGAUGGAUUUGGAACAACACCAGGUGGCCUGUACAGAUGUAAGGGAAAACACAGGGUUAUGAAGAAACCGUAGGAGGAACAAUGGCUCGAAAAAGGACACCCGUCCUCCUCUGCUCGACUUGGGAAGGUGCUAAGAGAAAUGACAUCCAAGAGGGUUGCAGACAAACAUUUGUCCAGAUGAGCUGCGGUAACAGGAUUGUGUUUGGACAGGAGCUUCUCUCUGUAGGGAACAAGAUUCUCUGAAGUGAAACGCUGGAGGAUUCUAAGAAUGAACCACUUGCAGAACUUUCUUUGCGGUUCUGAUGAUUCAUCCACCCAACCGUGAGAUGACUAGACUGCAGCUCUGACCAAAUUCAACUGCUGUAAGAACAAGCUGAAGAAGUUGAGAAAUACAUGCUGGCGGUUAUUCUGAAAAUGUCUGUUUCCCACCGGAAUGAAACGUAUACAGGCAAAACAUUGAAAAGCCCCCUCCGUUGGAGAGAGAGAAAGAGAGGGAUGGAAUAAGAAUGAGAGCGAGUGAAACAGAGUGAGUCAUGAGUGCAGCUUUGAACAACAAGGGGAAAUCCUCCUAUUGAGAGGCAUGCGCAUUGGAAACACACAUCAUGCAUAGAGGUAAUGGAACCGGAGGCCAUACACAAACCAAAACUUUUAGCCAUUUAUCUGGAGACCGUUUGACAUUGUGUCAUGCAAAACUGUAGCACUUUUAAUAACAGUAAACUGUGAGGCAUUAGCAAUGCAAACUACAUUUCCUGUUGUUUUUAAAAAUGAUAUGGCAUUUACAAUGUAUGCACAGUACAUAGUGCUCUUGAUUGGUCCGACUAAUAUGCAUGUUCUUGUCAAAUGCGGCUUGAAUUCUUCUUGGAGAGAUAAAAAGUUGUGGUUUUUCACAUUAAAAUAUUUAAAGCUUAUCAAGUAGUCAGUGCAGCCUACACAAUGGAGCUAUUUAGGGAAAUUUCACAUGAAUGUCAUAUGUAGGUAUUCACCCCUGUACUUUCUGUUGCAACACUUGCGCUAGCACUCUACUCACAGGAAACUCAGGGGGAAGCUCCCCAUCUGGGUUUAACAUUAAAAAGGAACGUUUCCUGUUGCUUACCAGUGUUUCUCUCACAUUGUUCUCAUUUGCAUGAUUUCCACCCUGAUAUUAAAAAUCAGGGUUUGUAGGGCCCCAAGAGCCAUAGUUACAUCAUAUAAUUUGCUUUUGUUCUGUUUCAACAGAAAUCACUAUGAAGAUGUCAACAGGAAGUGCAUGUACCUGAAUGAACCUCAUAUAUAUAUAUAUAUAUAUAUAUAUAUAUAUAUAUAUACACACACACACACAUAAGGUUCAUCUCCUUUUCUGCCGUUCAAGUACAUGCACUUCCUGUACUUAAAUGUAUAUAAAUAUAUCUUCUUUGACUUAUUUUCCAACUGUUGUUAUGCAGAGGUGAUGAAAUGUUAAUGAUGAAUACAUUUGAUGAUAAUGAUUCUAAAUUCUCUUUACACUAAGUGUAAAUAAAAGCACAGAUUCCUGUAGUAUAUACUGAUUUGAUGCAUGAACAUAAAAAAAAAAGAAAGAAAGUUCAAUAUUUCUGAGAAGCCAUGAAAAUUACUGUUAAAAUGUGACUCAUCGUGGUCAUUUUCAGCAUAGCAUAAUAAUUUGGCACAGCAGUAAUUUAAGGAAACCUCUAGGAUGCUUGAAUCAUGUACAAAAAUAGUGAAAUGACGUUCAUUAACAGCUGGCUUAGGGUCAAAAUCAGAUCUGAAUAGUCUUAAAAUGUGGGCUGAAAACAGGACAAAGCUGAUCGUGUUUGUUCAGGAAAAUGAGCUAUUAUGACUAAAAGAGCCAUUUUCUUUCCUGUUAAAUGCAGCGCCCCCAAAAAAGUGUUUAGACAUUUAAGUCUGAAUGUUAUUGCAUUUGAUAAUAAAUUAAGAAACCAAGUAUUAUUUUCGAAAGACAGACAAGCAAAAUAUGUGUUUUUAGUGUACAAAAGCAUCCAAAUUUAUGUUUAUUAUCAUAAUUGUAACCUGCUGUAUUUUAUCUUCAUCUUACAGCGGCUAUAUUUUUCAUCUUCAUUUUAAACGUUUAAUGUUUCUUCACAAUUAAGCUGAAAUGUUUGUGCUUUACAUUUUGUCCAUUUAAUGUGUUGACAACCUUUUGCCAAUCCAUAAAGUUGCAUCUUAUAUGCAAGCUGAUGUUUCAGCAGAAAUAAAAUGUUGCUGCAUUUAAAUAGACCGAAGUGUCAAGUGUGAACUGUCUGGUUUAAUCUGCGGAUGUCUUGACACAAAGAUGGGUUAAAGGGUAUUUUAUGAGAAAGGCACACACUGUUUUAUACUCCUUUCGACUGAUUUGUUGAAAUCAGAUGAUUGUGAGUAAUCCACCCUUUUACCAGAAGGGUUUAAAGAGUUUGUGUUCCCAUGCAUGUUUGAGUGUGUUCUGAUGUACCAUCAGUUCAAUCAUCUAACCAAGUCUGACUGUGCAUGACAAGAACAUCCAACUAAAAAUAUCAACCGCCACCAGUAAAGCUGGUCUGAAGAUGAAUGAUCUGUGAACUUCUGAGACUUUCAAUAAGCUCAUGAUCAUGAUGUGGUGUCUCAUGAUUCUUGUGCUUCUGCAGAACUGCACAAGAGAUUCAGAUCACUUACUGUAUCAGUUGGAUCAUGCAAAAGGUAGAGAUGAGCUGUUAGACACCAACACUCAUAAAAGGGGAAGCCCCCUAGCAAAAACAAGACUCAUCAUCUGACAUACAUGACAGAAAUGGAAGUUUUCGGCUCAAAAACACCCACCCAUGAGAGGCCCAGGUCAAAAUUAGCACUCAUUUCUGAUAGACUGGAAGUGAACCUUUUUACAGGGGUGUAAAUGUGUUUUCUGUCUUAAUCUGUCUACUUCACUCAUGCAAGACAAGUGUCAGUAUUAUUAUAUUAGUCAUGCUUAAGUUUGCUGGUUUGAGCAAAUCCUAAUUAAUCAAAUUUGGCAAUAAAACAGCCCAAAAAAUACAACAGACUUGCGCCAAAGGGAGGGAAAUGUAGUGCCAUACAGUGUAACCAUGCACUAAAAGUAUCUAAGAACUCCUUAGCAACUGCAUGGCAACGGCCUGGCAUCAUGACUGAGUUUUGCUCUGGCGAACGUUAAAGAAAUUGCUCUUUACUAUUAUGUGUUACUAUUGCAGCACAUUAAUUAUGUGAGUUUUGCGUAAAACUGUCUAUGUGUAUUGCAACGGCGUGACUGAUGUAAAUGGUUUAUGUACUUCGGAACCAUAACUUUAUGAUCGCAAAGUAAAUCCGCUAUGAUAGAAUGUUUAGGAGAUGUUACUUUUUCAUCCAAGCUGCCUUUUUUGGUCACCAAGAUUUCUCAGAGCUUUUCUCAAGGCUUCCAUCUUUAGGCUUGUUGGUUAAUCACAGACCACACAUGCUGGAGAACGCUGAAAUUACACCAAAAACAAGGGUAGAGUGUCUUGUGUAAGCAGUUUUUCCUUGAGGUAAUUAAAAAUUUCACAUAAGGACUCAAUUAUAUAGCCAAGGAGUUUUCCUAAUGAGAGGUAUGGGAAUGCAUAGUUACAGCUAAAUAGAAAAUGCAAAGCAUGCAUUUAUUGGUGCAUUUAUUGUGUUUUCUGUUUUUGAGCUCCUGACAGUGACAGCUCCUGCUCACCAUCCAGUUUCACAGUAUGGAGAACCUCUGAGAUUCUGCUAAACGUCUGUUUUUGUGUCCUGCAGAAGAAAUAGUCAUACAGCUUGAGGGACGUUCCUGAGAUGACAGACAUGCACACCUACAGGAGUUCAGGGGUGAAGCCCCCCCAUGGCGACGGAAACGGCCCGAGGAAAGGCCUCAUGCUGAAGGGAGAGGGGCCCGGCAGCUCCCUCAAACAAUGGAAGUUCUUGGAAGAUUUUAGGAAG